CCUACGGGCGGCAGCAGUAGGGAAUAUUGCUCAAUGGGGGAAACCCUGAAGCAGCAACGCCGCGUGGAGGAUGAAGGCUUUCGGAUUGUAAACUCUCUUUGUUAGAGAAGAUAAUGACGGUAUCUAACGAAUAAGCACCGGCUAACUCCGUGCCAGCAGCCGCGGUAAUACGGCGGGUGCAAGCGUUACUCGGAAUCACUGGGCGUAAAGCGCGCGUAGGCGGGAUAGCAAGUCAGCUGUGAAAUCCUAGGGCUUAACCAUAGAACUGCAUUUGAAACUGUUGUUCUAGAGUAUGGGAGAGGUAGGUGGAAUUCGUGGUGUAGGGGUAAAAUCCGUAGAGAUCAAGAGGAAUACUCAUUGCGAAGGCGACCUGCUAGAACAUAACUGACGCUGAUGCGCGAAAGCGUGGGGAGCAAACAGGAUUAGAUACCCCGGUAGUC
rnacentral:rRNA from 1 species